rnacentral:rRNA from 1 species
GAUGAACGCUGGCGGCGUGCCUAAUACAUGCAAGUCGAGCGAACAGACGAGGAGCUUGCUCCUCUGACGUUAGCGGCGGACGGGUGAGUAACACGUGGAUAACCUACCUAUAAGACUGGGAUAACUUCGGGAAAGCGGAGCUAAUACCGGAUAAUAUAUUGAACCGCAUGGUUCAAUAGUGAAAGACGGUUUUGCUGUCACUUAUAGAUGGAUCCGCGCCGCAUUAGCUAGUUGGUAAGGUAACGGCUUACCAAGGCGACGAUGCGUAGCCGACCUGAGAGGGUGAUCGGCCACACUGGAACUGAGACACGGUCCAGACUCCUACGGGAGGCAGCAGUAGGGAAUCUUCCGCAAUGGGCGAAAGCCUGACGGAGCAACGCCGCGUGAGUGAUGAAGGUCUUCGGAUCGUAAAACUCUGUUAUUAGGGAAGAACAAAUGUGUAAGUAACUAUGCACGUCUUGACGGUACCUAAUCAGAAAGCCACGGCUAACUACGUG